rnacentral:rRNA from 1 species
CCUACGGGGGGCAGCAGUGGGGGAUAUUGCACAAUGGGCGCAAGCCUGAUGCAGCGACGCCGCGUGAGCGAAGAAGUAUUUCGGUAUGUAAAGCUCUAUCAGCAGGGAAGAAAAUGACGGUACCUGACUAAGAAGCUCCGGCUAAAUACGUGCCAGCAGCCGCGGUAAUACGUAUGGAGCAAGCGUUAUCCGGAAUUACUGGGUGUAAAGGGAGCGUAGGCGGCAAGGCAAGUCUGAUGUGAAAACCCAGGGCCCAACCCUGGGACUGCAUUGGAAACUGUAUUGCUUGAGUACCGGAGAGGCAG